rnacentral:rRNA from 1 species
UACAGAGGUCUCAAGCGUUGUUCGGAUUCAUUGGGCGUAAAGGGUGCGUAGGCGGCGCGGUAAGUCGGGUGUGAAAUCUCGGAGCUUAACUCCGAAACUGCAUUCGAUACUGCCGUGCUUGAGGACUGGAGAGGAGACUGGAAUUUACGGUGUAGCGGUGAAAUGCGUAGAUAUCGAGAGGAACACCAGUGGCGAAGGCGAGUCCCUGGACGACUCCUGACACUGAGGCACGAAAGCUAGGGGAGCAAACAGG